rnacentral:rRNA from 1 species
UACGUAGGGUGCAAGCGUUAAUCGGAAUUACUGGGCGUAAAGCGUGCGCAGGCGGUUUGGUAAGACAGAUGUGAAAUCCCCGGGCUCAACCUGGGAAUUGCAUUUGUGACUGCCCGGCUAGAGUGUGUCAGAGGGGGGUAGAAUUCCACGUGUAGCAGUGAAAUGCGUAGAUAUGUGGAGGAAUACCGAUGGCGAAGGCAGCCCCCUGGGAUAACACUGACGCUCAUGCACGAAAGCGUGGGGAGCGAACAGG